rnacentral:rRNA from 1 species
AGAGUUUGAUCAUGGCUCAGAUUGAACGCUGGCGGCAGGCCUAACACAUGCAAGUCGAGCGGUAGCACAGAGAGCUUGCUCUCGGGUGACGAGCGGCGGACGGGUGAGUAAUGUCUGGGAAACUGCCUGAUGGAGGGGGAUAACUACUGGAAACGGUAGCUAAUACCGCAUAAUGUCGCAAGACCAAAGUGGGGGACCUUCUGGCCUCAUGCCAUCAGAUGUGCCCAGAUGGGAUUAGCUAGUAGGUGGGGUAACGGCUCACCUAGGCGACGAUCCCUAGCUGGUCUGAGAGGAUGACCAGCCACACUGGAACUGAGACACGGUCCAGACUCCUACGGGAGGCAGCAGUGGGGAAUAUUGCACAAUGGGCGCAAGCCUGAUGCAGCCAUGCCGCGUGUGUGAAGAAGGCCUUCGGGUUGUAAAGCACUUUCAGCGGGGAGGAAGGCGAUAAGGUUAAUAACCUUGUCGAUUGACGUUACCCGCAGAAGAAGCACCGGCUAACUCCGUGCCAGCAGCCGCGGUAAUACGGAGGGUGCAAGCGUUAAUCGGAAUUACUGGGCGUAAAGCGCACGCAGGCGGUCUGUCAAGUCGGAUGUGAAAUCCCCGGGCUCAACCUGGGAACUGCAUUCGAAACUGGCAGGCUAGAGUCUUGUAGAGGGGGGUAGAAUUCCAGGUGUAGCGGUGAAAUGCGUAGAGAUCUGGAGGAAUACCGGUGGCGAAGGCGGCCCCCUGGACAAAGACUGACGCUCAGGUGCGAAAGCGUGGGGAGCAAACAGGAUUAGAUACCCUGGUAGUCCACGCCGUAAACGAUGUCGAUUUGGAGGUUGUGCCCUUGAGGCGUGGCUUCCGGAGCUAACGCGUUAAAUCGACCGCCUGGGGAGUACGGCCGCAAGGUUAAAACUCAAAUGAAUUGACGGGGGCCCGCACAAGCGGUGGAGCAUGUGGUUUAAUUCGAUGCAACGCGAAGAACCUUACCUGGUCUUGACAUCCACAGAACUUUCCAGAGAUGGAUUGGUGCCUUCGGGAACUGUGAGACAGGUGCUGCAUGGCUGUCGUCAGCUCGUGUUGUGAAAUGUUGGGUUAAGUCCCGCAACGAGCGCAACCCUUAUCCUUUGUUGCCAGCGGUUAGGCCGGGAACUCAAAGGAGACUGCCAGUGAUAAACUGGAGGAAGGUGGGGAUGACGUCAAGUCAUCAUGGCCCUUACGACCAGGGCUACACACGUGCUACAAUGGCAUAUACAAAGAGAAGCGACCUCGCGAGAGCAAGCGGACCUCAUAAAGUAUGUCGUAGUCCGGAUUGGAGUCUGCAACUCGACUCCAUGAAGUCGGAAUCGCUAGUAAUCGUAGAUCAGAAUGCUACGGUGAAUACGUUCCCGGGCCUUGUACACACCGCCCGUCACACCAUGGGAGUGGGUUGCAAAAGAAGUAGGUAGCUUAACCUUCGGGAGGGCGCUUACCACUUUGUGAUUCAUGACUGGGGUGAAGUCGUAACAAGGUAACCGUAGGGGAACCUGCGGUUGGAUCACCU